AGGCGUAUAGCUCAGUUGGUUAGAGCGCCUCGUUCACAUCGAGGAGGUCUGCGGUUCAAGUCCGCAUACGCCUA
rnacentral:tRNA from 2 species